rnacentral:lncRNA from 1 species
AAGGAUUUCUCCCGGAGUUGCGCUGAACAUCCACCGCCACCGACCCGCUGAGCAUGGCCGCCACGCACCACCACGACCCCCAGGCAGGGUCACGGGUCACCGCACCGCGCGCCCUGGCCACCGCAGUCGCGCCUAGCCGACGCUCUCUGCCACCGCAGCCGCGCCCGGCCGCCGCUCCCUACCACCAUGGUCGCGCGCCCCGCACAAGAUCCGGCCAUGGCAGCCCCGGAUCCGCC